rnacentral:lncRNA from 1 species
AAAUUUAAGUGCAUGAAAACUUUUCCCGGCAAAUGAUCAAGUCUGAAUAUUUUGCUUUCUUGGAGAUGAACUGUUAUUUUUGGGAAAGUAUACCUUGUUUUGGAAAAUUCUGCUGAUGUGACCUUAUGUGGCAGAUAGCUUCUUUGGAUGAUGAACCCUGUUGGCAAAGGUGAACAGAAAUUGAGCUAUUACAGUGACAUCUCUUCAACUGCAAAAUAGGAGUCAUGAGGUCAUUAGUCAUCUUCCACUUGCAGGGAAAAUCAAAUAUCUCGUGUUUUGUUUUUUCUCCUCAUUAAGGUUAUCUUGGGUUAAUUUAGGCUCUUGAUACAUUCAGUAACUGACAAAAGUGAAACUGUAGUUCUGAAGAAAUUGCUUCAUUUUCACAUGAGCAGUGCAGUACUUACUGUCCUGUGCUAUUUUCAGCAUUCCUUCGAAGGAUAAGGUGUGACUCAACUUUUUUGCUUGUAGUUGCCAAACCAGUAAUGUAAUUGAAUAAAGUUCCUUCUUUUAUCCCUA